UACAGAGGUCCCGAGCGUUGUUCGGAUUUAUUGGGCGUAAAGGGUGCGUAGGCGGCGGAGUAAGUUGGGUGUGAAAUCCCGGGGCUCAACCUCGGAAUGGCAUUCAAUACUGCUUCGCUAGAGUACUGGAGAGGAGGCUGGAAUUUACGGUGUAGCAGUGAAAUGCGUAGAGAUCAUGAGGAAGACCAGUGGCGAAGGCGGGUCUCUGGACAGUUCCUGACACUGAGGCACGAAGGCCAGGGGAGCAAACGGG
rnacentral:rRNA from 1 species